rnacentral:rRNA from 1 species
UACGUAGGGUGCAAGCGUUGUCCGGAAUUAUUGGGCGUAAAGAGCUCGUAGGCGGUUUGUCGCGUCGGCUGUGAAAACUCGGGGCUCAACCCCGAGCCUGCAGUCGAUACGGGCAAACUAGAGUGUGGUAGGGGAGACUGGAAUUCCUGGUGUAGCGGUGAAAUGCGCAGAUAUCAGGAGGAACACCGGCGGCGAAGGCGGCGAUCUGGGUCGAUACUGACGCUGAGGUGCGAAAGCGUGGGGAGCAAACAGG